ensembl:lncRNA
UGCAGAUGUACACCAAGGUCAGCCUAAGCAGAUAGGAAAUGAAAAGUAAACUGCCCAAACAGUUCAGAUAUUUGCAAAAAAUCCAACUGGAAAUAACCAAGUCUGAUACAGAACCAGUCUGGCUUGCGUGUGAAAGACAAGUUAUACACAUCCCAGUCUCGCUCAUUAGAAUUUAGCCUAAGGUGAAGUGAGUUUCAGUUAAGUGGAUGAUCUCUCGUGGAUGAAGACUUCUGGCAUCCAAAGCUGUAAGUCCUCCACAGCUGGGAGAUAAAGAAAUGCUCGACCCUGGUGUCUACCUGCACAUCUAUUUGUAUGCCUAAAAG